rnacentral:tRNA from 2 species
GCCGAUGUAGCUCAGUUGGUUAGAGCAGCUGAUUUGUAAUCAGCAGGUCGGAGGUUCGAAUCCAUCCAUCGGCU